rnacentral:rRNA from 1 species
GUACACGCUGUGACUAGCAUAUCAAUAAGCGGAGGAAAAGAAACUAACAAGGAUUCCCCUAGUAACGGCGAGUGAAGCGGGAAGAGCUCAAAUUUGAAAUCUUAAAGGGUUUCCCUUUACGAAUUGUAGUUUAAAGAAGUGUUUUCUGUUGAGGUUUUGGUAAAAGUUCUUUGGAAUAGGACAUCAUAGAGGGUGAGAAUCCCGUAUUCGACCUUUACUUUCAACUUUGUGAUACACUUUCAAAGAGUCGGAUUGUUUGGGAAUGCAGUCCAAAAUGGGUGGUAAAUUUCAUCUAAAGCUAAAUAUUGGCGAGAGACCGAUAGCGAACAAGUACCGUGAGGGAAAGAUGAAAAGAACUUUGAAAAGAGAGUUAAACAGUACGUGAAAUUGUCAAAAGGGAAGCGUUUGACACCAGUGUUGUUUUUCUGAAAAUCAAUUAAAGAACUGUUUAUGCUAAGUUGUUUAGACUUUAUCAGCUAUCUGUUUAGUUUUGAGCUUUUCUUUAAUGCACUUUUCAGUUAACAAGUCAACAUCAAUUUCUUUUGCUGUAAAAAAGCUUGAGGAAGGUGGCUUGAGAUUCGUCUUAAGUGUUUAUAGCCUCUUGCCUAUGCAGUCGGAGAGAUUGAGGUCUGCAGCGUAGAUCCUUCGGGGCUAAAUGCAUUUGUGCUAAGUUAUAACAUUUUAUAGACAACUUGUUGACUAUGAUUUGUCUUGUAGCUUACUCGCUUAUGUUAUUUUACCUACGCUUAGGAUGUUGACGAGACUGUCGAUCUC